UGAUUAUGGCUCAGGAUGAACGCUAGCUACAGGCUUAACACGUGCAAGUCGAGGGGCAGCAUGAACUUAGCUUGCUAAGUUUGAUGGCGACCGGCGCACGGGUGAGUAACACGUAUCCAACCUUCCGUUUACUCAGGGAUAGCCUUUCGAAAGAAAGAUUAAUACCUGAUAGUAUGGUGAGAUUGCAUGAUAGCACCAUUAAAGAUUUAUUGGUAAACGAUGGGGAUGCGUUCCAUUAGGUAGUAGGCGGGGUAACGGCCCACCUAGCCGACGAUGGAUAGGGGUUCUGAGAGGAAGGUCCCCCACAUUGGAACUGAGACACGGUCCAAACUCCUACGGGAGGCAGCAGUGAGGAAUAUUGGUCAAUGGGCGAGAGCCUGAACCAGCCAAGUAGCGUGAAGGAUGAAGGUCCUACGGAUUGUAAACUUCUUUUAUACGGGAAUAAAGUAUCCUACGUGUAGGAUUUUGUAUGUACCGUAUGAAUAAGCAUCGGCUAACUCCGUGCCAGCAGCCGCGGUAAUACGGAGGAUGCGAGCGUUAUCCGGAUUUAUUGGGUUUAAAGGGAGCGCAGACGGGAGAUUAAGUCAGUUGUGAAAGUUUGCGGCUCAACCGUAAAAUUGCAGUUGAUACUGGUUUCCUUGAGUGCAGUUGAGGCAGGCGGAAUUCGUGGUGUAGCGGUGAAAUGCUUAGAUAUCACGAAGAACCCCGAUUGCGAAGGCAGCUUGCUAAACUGUAACUGACGUUCAUGCUCGAAAGUGUGGGUAUCAAACAGGAUUAGAUACCCUGGUAGUCCACACGGUAAACGAUGGAUACUCGCUGUUGGCGAUAUACUGUCAGCGGCCAAGCGAAUGCAUUAAGUAUCCCACCUGGGGAGUACGCCGGCAACGGUGCAACUCAAAUGAAUUGACGG
rnacentral:rRNA from 1 species